rnacentral:lncRNA from 1 species
GUCACCAGGCACCACAGUCUCACCAAGGGUGCCUAAAAGUUACUUGGCUGGAGAGAGUCAGCAUCAAAAUAUUGUGAUGAUUUCCCAGACAUCCAGGCCACAGACUCAGGAAGCCGCACAGGGAAAGCAAUUGGGAGGUCUGCCUGUGCCCCCCUGAUUGGAGCCACUGUGGAAAACUCAGAGUUUGAUCACAGCUUAAUCCUAAAACCCUCCAGAUGAGUCAUGGGUGAGACCCCAAUUCCACAUCUCCCCACUCUACCCUCACAGGUUGGAAAUCAGGCAGCCCAGAGCCUGGCAGAGGUCUGCACAAUGAGGACAGCACAGGCAGGCAAGCCACAUGCCCUGAUGGAGCCCCCAGAGCAGACCUCCCUGGACAGCUGCCCCAUCAGUGGGCCCUCCUUCGUGGAUCCCAAAGGGGCCUGCAUUUUUUCCCCACAGGAGGGCAUGGUGGGAAGGAGCACCUCCAUUCCAAGCUGAAGUCCCAGCGGCAGAGCCUGUGCCAACUGCACCUGCAGGUGCUUCCUCAGCUCUGGCACCACAGCCAGAGCCAGAACCAGGAUUCCCUUGUCCUUUAACUGCACUUCUGGGGCUCCUGGUGGCUUCUCAGAGGUUGUCAGCUCCUGAGAUUCCCCUGGGGCCAGCUCCUGCCCCACACCUGCCAUUCCCCUCUAUUACUGCUGCUCAUGUUUUAUUCUUUACUUUUGUGCUUAUAUUCUG